UGAUAGAGUCUCUCCUCGCACUUGCUUUCUUCCAGUCAGACGUUAUGAAACAAAUCUCACACUGACUCACGUUGCUUCCGGAGGUUCUGCAGAGCAUGGCCAAAUUUUUGAUAUCCGGCAGAGAAAAACAAAGCAAUGGUUUCUUAGUGUGAAAUGGGUUUGUGCAGAUGUGUCAGCAUGCGGUGAGGACCGAAACCUACUUUCGCACCUCUGACAGAAAGUGACGCGAGCAAGGUGGCCUGGAUGCACAGCAGAACUUUCCUCCCACAGGGUCUGAUUAGACCUCACCAUAGGAAAGAAAGUCACACAUUACCAUCUCAGCUGGUUCUCCCAGACCGGAACGCAAUCGAAUGGAGAGCAAAUGGAGAUUUUUGUCCUCCUUUAAUCUCCCGCAUCUGUUCAAAU